GAUGAACGCUAGCGGCAGGCUUAAUACAUGCAAGUCGAACGGUAAGUUUGGUAGCAAUACUAAGUCAAGAGUGACGUACGGGUGCGUAACACGUAUGCAACCUACCUUGUACAGGAGGAUAGCUCGGGGAAACUCGAAUUAACCCUCCAUGAGAUAGUAGUGAGGCAUCUCACAGUUAUUAAAACUCAGGUGGUACAAGAUGGGCAUGCGUCUGAUUAGUUAGUUGGAGUGUAACGGACUACCAAGACGAUGAUCAGUA
rnacentral:rRNA from 1 species